rnacentral:rRNA from 1 species
UACGUAGGGUGCGAGCGUUAAUCGGAAUUACUGGGCGUAAAGCGUGCGCAGGCGGUUUUGUAAGCCAGAUGUGAAAUCCCCGGGCUCAACCUGGGAAUGGCAUUUGGGACUGCAAGGCUUGAGUAUGGCAGAGGGGACUAGAAUUCCUGGUGUAGCAGUGAAAUGCGUAGAUAUCAGGAGGAAUACCGAUGGCGAAGGCAGGUCCCUGGGUUAAUACUGACGCUCAUGCACGAAAGCGUGGGGAGCAAACAGG